CGAUGGUUGUCGUCAGCUCGUGUCGUGAGAUGUUGGUUAAGUCCCGCAACGAGCGCAACCCCUAUUGUUAGUUGCCAUCAUUCAGUUGGGCACUCUAGCGAGACUGCCGGUAAUAAACCGGAGGAAGGUGGGGAUGACGUCAAAUCAUCAUGCCCCUUAUGACCUGGGCUACACACGUGCUACAAUGGUUGGUACAACGAGUUGCGAGUCGGUGACGGCGAGCUAAUCUCUUAAAGCCAAUCUCAGUUCGGAUUGUAGGCUGCAACUCGCCUACAUGAAGUCGGAAUCGCUAGUAAUCGCGGAUCAGCACGCCGCGGUGAAUACGUUCCCGGGCCUU
rnacentral:rRNA from 1 species